GCCCGCGAAACAAGCGUCACGCGCACAGACCGAGUGGAUAUUCCUGAGCAGCUACACACACCCCAAAUGCUCUUAGCCAUAUUAUCCAGAGUCUUUGGCUUUAUUUUGCAUUGUCCGCCACUGCCUCCAGAGUUUUUUUUCCUGGCAUCUCUUGUUUUAAGCUGCAGUAAUGAAAUGGAGUAAAGAUGCAACAGAGGAGAUAAGAAAACAUACUUCGGACCAUCAUAAGCAUGCACCAUCAAGAAGUGGAGGGGAGACACAAUGAAUAUUAAAAAUCAAUAUAGAUUUUUGUUUGUGAUUUGUUUUUAUGUUACCUUUUAAAAGGUAAAUUUAUACCCACUAAUUAUUAUACACACACACACACACGCUGUCACACCCGUCAGCUGGAGUGUCCUUGUGCUUCACCAAAGGGCACUUCCCACAUUACCUGGACUAUCAUAGCACACUACAAUGCCCAUAAUCCUUUGCUAGACUCAAACAUGCUCACCUGUUUCCCAUUAGCCUUGCCAACUCCACUGCCCUGUCAACUCCACUGCCUUGUGCAGUUUAGCUCCAACCCUGUUUAAAAACACCUGUCUGUUAUUUUUCAAGUAAUUCUGAUUAUCUUGAUUAGCUGGUUCAGGUUUGUUUGGGUUGGAACUGUACUCUGCAGGACAAUAGAUCUCCAGGAGAAGGAUUGGGCACCCCUGGUCUAUUUAAACCCCUUGUUUUCAUUCAUUUUUGGCGAAGUCUUGUUUAGUGUUACACUGUAUUUCUGAGUAUUGUUGCCUGUUGGAUUAUCGUGUAAUACCUUGGAUUGUAUUUUUUGUCUUUUGAACCUCUGUUGCCUGUCCCAACCAUUGCCUGUGAUUUCAUCCAUGAAUGUUUGCUGUCUGCCCUGAUCUUUGCCUGUUUUGCCUUCAUGUCUCGGAAGCAAUUCAUAUAGUGCUGUAGUACUCGAGUCCGGUCUCGAGACGUUUUUUAUGGUCUCGGACUUGUCUUGGACUCGUCUCGCAAAUGUUCUAGUCGGUCUCGUCCGAGUCCAGCGAUAUAUGUUUUAUUUUCUCCUUCAAAACAAAACAUUGAUGGAGCAAUAUUCUUGUGAUCCGAAAACUAAUGAUCCGAAAACUGUUGCCGACUCUCGACUCUAGAACGAGAGCUGCGCGUGCUCAUAAGUUCUCUUUUCACACAGCAGUUCAGUUCAGUGUGUGCUGUUGUUGUAAUUAAAUAACUCUGGUAUAUUGGUUCAAGUCCGCGGGACUGUCAUGCACGCCAGAAAGUGAAUAACUGAAUUAAUUUGUGGAUAAUAUUAAGUGUUUACAGGAAUCCGACAGGAAUGGCGCAGUAAUCUUAUCUGUAUAUUUUACAGUAAUUGUACAAGAGGAUGCAGCAGAUGGCAUACUGUAUAUUACUGGGACGGAAGAGCCUUGCUUCGCCACAGUGAUCCAAACAUCUGAAUCGGCUUUUGCAAAUGAUCUUCUUCGAUGAAUUACUGCAGCAUGGUCAAUAAAAGUGCAAACGCACAUCUCCUUUCAUUUAAAUUGCCAACUUGCAUUCAUAAUUGUGUCAUGCAAAUAACACCAAGUUUGUGAAUAAACCUUAAUAUAUAAACCGAAUACACAUUGCUAAAUUCAUGAAAAUACUGUGUCAGCACAUUUAGCAUCUGUUCAAAUUGGACUACAAGUGCUUAGUGAAUAAAACGCAGUUUACGCUGAAAUACAUUGUUUUUGUAUAUUAUAAAACACUGCAUAUCAUCCCAGUACAUUUCUUACUGUGGUGUCGUAACACACAAAAGGUUUACAAGAAUGUGUGGCAUUCAGGCAUCAUAUAAUUUGCAUUACCAUAUAAAGUGUAUAAUGUAUGAAAUACAAUUGCAUGAGUGCAUAUGGAAGGAUGCAUUUAUUGACUUUUCCUUCUGACUGUCUAUUGCCAAUGUAAUGGACAAUGGACGUUUGAGUGGCUACAAGCCCUGGGUUAUUGAUUUGAUCAAACAAGCAUAAUUAGGCAGAUGUGUCUGUAAAAAACAGAAGCUGAACUGUACUGUAUACUUCUGUUUAUUUCUACCAGCCCAUGCUUGUACUGAUGUGCUGUGCCCGUGCAUGCUAGCGUGGAGAGGUGAUGUUAUAUCAAGCAUAGAUGGGCACUGAUUAGAUUUUAAUACACUUACUCUGGUAAGUGGGGUUAAGUAUGUAGUGUAUUAUAGUAAUACAGUGGAUUUGUUGAUCUGUGAUGGAAAGAGUAUGUGAACGACAUGGGUCGGCUUUGGGACACGUGGGCCACAGCUGUGCAUUUUAUCAGCCACCGCCUGAGCUAUUAGUGAAAGAGGCUUUUAUACACAUACAUUCAACACUAAUAAGCCUUUGUCAGAUGUAGGAUGCAGAGGCUGCAACGUUGGAUGAUUUGUCAGCCCAAUGAGGUCAAAAAAGUUUAGGAUUAUGACACAGAGAUGGGGUUUUAAUAUAAAGUACUGUCCUUACUAAUGAGACCACCAUCCAACACCAGCAUUCAUUUGAUGUGCA